rnacentral:rRNA from 1 species
GACGGGACCGCACAAGCGGUGGAUGAUGUGAUAAUUCGAUGCAACGCGAAAACCUUACCUACCUUGACAUGUCCGGAAUCCCGAAGAGAUUUGGGAGUGCUCGCAAGAGAACCGGAACACAGGUGCUGCAUGGCUGUCGUCAGCUCGUGUCGUGAGAUGUGGGGUUAAGUCCCGCAACGAGCGCAACCCUUGUCAUUAGUUGCCAUCAUUUGGUUGGGCACUCUAAUGAGACUGCCGGUGACAAACCGGAGGAAGGUGGGGAUGACGUCAAGUCCUCAUGGCCCUUAUGGGUAGGGCUUCACACGUCAUACAAUGGUCGGUACAGAGGGUUGCCAACCCGCGAGGGGGAGCUAAUCCCACAAAGCCGAUCGUAGUCCGGAUCGCAGUCUGCAACUCGACUGCGUGAAGUCGGAAUCGCUAGUAAUCGUGGAUCAGCAUGUCACGGUGAAUACGUUCCCGGGUCUU